GAGGUCCAUGCUGAUUUCAAAAAAACCCACUGAUCUGUCGUGUUCUGGAUAAACAUGGACUGUGACCACCUGAGCCAAUGCCUGGAGGAGAGUCUAGAGAAAGCAGGCUAGGAAAGGAAGACGAUCUCUCAGGCAGCUGGACCAUGCCAAGUCAGACACAAAGAGGAGUUACAGCAUUUGGCCUCCAAGUACCCCAACCUGGUCAUCAUGCCGCUUGAAGUCACCGACCCCGCCAGCAUCCAGGCAGCUGCA